GAAUCGGUAUUUUAGACAAAAGCUGACCACCUUUUACAACGGAUGUAUAUGAUAAACUAUGCUAAUUAAUUACAAAUUAAUAACCACUGGACCUUACGCAUUUCCUUAAAUUGUCAUAUGACAGCACUGCAGGAAAAAAGAAUCUACAAGGUGUACUUGUCUUUUGUCGAAGAAAAUCGUGUCUUUUCUGGAGGAAAAGGAAUAAUUGGCAAAUAAUGGCUUGGCUCACAUGGCUACUCUCUGACUAUGGAAAAUGAAAACAUGAUAACCAAAGUCGAUGAUCUAUAUAAUUUAGUGCGAUUAAUCAUUGAAGGAAAAGAAAGUGACAAAAUGUUCAACUGCUGGAUUCAAGAUAUAUCAAUGCCACUGAACGACAAUCGCUGACGGCAGGACUUUAUUUACGCCAACUGUCAAAAUAAAACGCAUUAAGGUCAGCUCAAGAUUCAAGAAAUUAAUCUACCUUUUACAAGAGCGGUUUAUUAUGAAAUAAUAUCAAAUAUCUUCAGUUUCGCAAAUAUAUUUUAUUUCACUUUUCA